rnacentral:lncRNA from 1 species
UUUUGGGGGUGGCAGGGGAGGGGGGCCUGAACUCUGCGGUUUGAGGCUGACUUCACACUCCUAGCACUGAGCGGAGCUGCACGAUUCCGAAUUUUAACUUGAAUUUUGUAGAGAUGAAACAAAUGAAAACAAAUGAAAUAUUGUUAUGACUAGUUUGUAGUUUAUUUAAGACUUUGGAGUUCUUUUCCUCUAUCACUUAUUUUGUGUGGCUUUUAUUUUUACAGGGUUUCAUUCUUUUGUUUGUUUUUGUUUUGUUUGGUAUCCCCCCUGCCCUCUGCUGUGUAUUUUCUAGCACAGACAACUCCUGAGCAGAGGGGAGCUCCCAUUCCUGGGGCUGAGUGAGGGAACGAGGACCUGGAAUCUCUAGGGCUGGGAUGGGGCAAAAACCUCUGCUUUAGUGGCAUUUGCUGCAGGUUCUGUGCUUGUCCCUUUUCCCCAUAUUCAGCCACUCACUGUAUGGUGAUGGGCUGCAGGAGAACCCCUCAGCUGUACCCAUCUUGCAGACCGCAUGUUUUCAGUUGGCACCCGAUGGACAUCACUGACUUCUGUGGGGUCAGCACGGAGCCCCUGCCCUUAAAACCCAUCCUGUGAGCACAGCUAGCAGGGCUGCUCGCAGCAGCAAGGCGGGCACUCCCUGGGGCACCUCAGUACUGCUGAGAACAGAGGGGCCGUGCCCUGCUGCUACACGCCGUGUCUGUACCUCCACCCCAGCCCAUCUCACAAGGCUGCACUCACCAAACCACUGCAGGGCAGUGGGAGAAGGCCGAGGCAUGGAGGAGAGGGGAAGCGUUCCCCUGGCAGCUGCACUCAGCAGCACCUUGCUGGGGCCUGUGCUGAUGCGGAGCCGUUCCACACAUCCUUCCGUGCGGCUCAGCGUGCCAGGGGGGCCCACGUUUAUCUAUGCACACCACCUUCCCCCUCCAGGCACCCGACUUCUCGCCCAUGUCUCAGCCUUUCUCCCAAUCCUUUAUGACCUCUCCUCCGGGCACUGGCACAGGGAAUGCAGGUCCUUUCCCUCGAGGCUCACGCUGACCUCUGCCCCACGGCCCUGCCUUCCCCCAGCGCUGUACCUGCACAGCUCUCACUAUGCCCAUCUUUGCAGCAACAACAAGUCUAGAAAGUUAAGCCCGUCUUGUUUUUCUGCCAUGCUCAGGCUUUAAUUCAGCAAAACUCUUAAGCAAACGCUUUGUGAGCUGGAGCAGAUUGAAGCCCACGCUUAAGUGCUUUUCUGAGCAAAGGCCCCAGCAGCACAGAGGUGCCCAUUGCAGAGCAGUGGUUCUUCGCUUUAAGCGAUCCAACAGGGCCGUUAAGACGAUGCUGUAAGUGCUUAAAGAACGACCAGAGAGAGAGAUUCAACCAAACUGUGUGAGGAGGGGGAAAGAGGAGAGAGGAAAUGGAACCGUUGUGUCCAAAACAAAACGAAAAACAAACAAAGCAAUCCUUGGGAUGGACCCUCCUGAUUUCUGCUACCAUUCACUGCUGAGGAGCAAAAAACAAAAUCAAACUAUUGACUAGAUGGCUCUUUCUAGCCACAAACUCAACUGGAUUAAAGUCUGCGUGGAAGGAAUUUUGUAAAGAAAAAAAAAAAAAAAAAAAAGAAAAAAGAAAACUUUUUUCCAAUGUAGCAAAAAAUUAAAAAAUAAUAAAAAAAACUUUAAAAAACUAUUAAAAAAAAAAAGACAAAAAAAGACAAAGAGGGAGAAUUCUAGCCUUUUGUAAUAUCCAUAUUGCACACUAGGACUAUAAGCCAUUGCUAGCUCAUUUUGAAUUUUAAAUGUGUAAUUUUUUUUGUUUUGUUUUGUUGUUGUUUUAUUUUUUUCUUUCUGUGGGGGAGGGGGGAAAUAAAUGCUUGAACCACCAAUGCUCUUUUUAAUGUUUUAUAAAUAUGUAUGUGUAUAUAUAUAAAUAUAAAAAUAAUAUGUAUGCACAUAUAUAUGUGUGUGUGUAUAUAUCUAUAUGUAUAUACAUAUAUAUAGAUAUAUAGAUAUAUAUAUAGGUUUUGAGACAAAAAAAAUGCAGAAAGUGAAAAAAAAAACCACCCUAAACAGGACGGUGUGCUCUGAUUUACUUGAAUCUGGUCUCUUCAGCACCUGCGUUAUUAAGAACUGAAUAUUUUUCCACUUGAAUUUAGUGCUAUUAGAAAUUUAAUAUAUGUGUUUUAUUUAUUUGAUUUUUUUUUUUUUUUUUUUUUUUUGCAUGACUGAUGCAAGGUUUGACAUUUUCACUCAAUAAAAACUGGAAAAAAAACCAA